rnacentral:lncRNA from 1 species
CAGGCUCAGGGUUGCUCAUGCAACCCUAAUUCCCCAUGAUAUCAUCUUCACUUACUCUGUCACAACCUAUUUCUUCCACUGAAGCCUGUCUCAGCUGAGGAGAGGUGGUGCUCACUUACUGAGCAGCUCUUGCAGACACUUGGCUCCUGAUUGCUCCACACACAGCCCCAGGCAUGAGCUCCUGCUGGCUUUGAGCUUCCUUGGGUUUUCCUUGUGCCUGUUGCUGCCAGAUAUCUGGGUUGGAAUGGAUGCUCUGAGUUCCUCCACUCUGUGCCAUGUCUUCCUUGGAAUAGAUAAUUGUGACUUUGAAUUCCAACCUAAGGAAGUCUUGCCCACUAUGCAAACUACUUAUUCAAAGGCAGAUGUGGUCAGACUUACAGCAAAAAGUGGAUGCUCCAGGCCUUUUCAUCUUUGACAAUAAAAUAGGAGUGAUGGAGACA